AAUAGAUACCCGGGUAGUCCACGCCGUAAACGAUGAGUGCUAAGUGUUAGGGGGUUUCCGCCCCUUAGUGCUGCAGCUAACGCAUUAAGCACUCCGCCUGGGGAGUACGGUCGCAAGACUGAAACUCAAAGGAAUUGACGGGGGCCCGCACAAGCGGUGGAGCAUGUGGUUUAAUUCGAAGCAACGCGAAGAACCUUACCAGGUCUUGACAUCCCAUUGACCGCUAUGGAGACAUAGCUUUCCCUUCGGGGACAGUGGUGACAGGUGGUGCAUGGUUGUCGUCAGCUCGUGUCGUGAGAUGUUGGGUUAAGUCCCGCAACGAGCGCAACCCUUGUUCUUAGUUGCCAUCAUUUAGUUGGGCACUCUAAGGAGACUGCCGGUGACAAACCGGAGGAAGGUGGGGAUGACGUCAAAUCAUCAUGCCCCUUGUGACCUGGGCUACACACGUGCUACAAUGGACGGUACAAACGGUUGCCAACCCGCGAGGGGGAGCUAAUCCGAUAAAACCGUUCUCAGUUCGGAUUGUAGGCUGCAACUCG
rnacentral:rRNA from 1 species